rnacentral:rRNA from 1 species
UAAUUGAAGAGUUUGAUCAUGGCUCAGAUUGAACGCUGGCGGCAGGCCUAACACAUGCAAGUCGAGCGGUAACAGAAGCUGCUUCGACGAGCGGACGGCGGAGUAAUGUAUGGGAUCCGCCCGGGGAUAACUACUGGAAACGGUAGCUAAUACCGCAUAAUCUCCGAGCAAAGCAGGGGAACUUCGUCCUUGCGCUAUCGGAUGAACCCAUAUGGGAUUAGCUAGUAGGUGAGGUAAUGGCUCACCUAGGCGACGAUCCCUAGCUGGUCUGAGAGGAUGAUCAGCCACACUGGGACUGAGACACGGCCCAGACUCCUACGGAGGCAGCAGUGGGAAUAUUGCACAAUGGGCGCAAGCCUGAUGCAGCCAUGCCGCGUAUGAAGAAGGCCCUAGGUUGUAAAGUACUUUCAGUCGGGAGGAAGGCGCUGAUGCUAAUAUCAUCAGCGAUUGACGUUACCGACAGAAGAAGCACCGGCUAACUCCGUGCAGCCGCGGUAAUACGGAGGGUGCAAGCGUUAAUCGGAAUUAC